GCCCUCUCGGAAUCGUAUCUGAAGAGUUUCUAGUACUCUACCAGUCUCGUCUACAGGAGGGAGAGUCAAGCAGAGGCCUACCCAUUCCAUUCCUAGCUUGAGCAGUGGCUAGCGAGUGGAAGGCAAUCUGCUACAAGU